UAAACACAACUUUAUUUAAUCAUGUACAAAGUCUCUUCAUCAUCAUCAUCAUCAUCAUCAUCAUCAUCAUCAGAUAUCAUUUUAGUCUCUCAGGAGAAUUUAAUAGUUGAUAAUGAAAAGAUAAAAAACCCCACAUGAGCCUCGUCCUCCUGCUGACUUCUGAUCAGUUUAACCUGACGAUCAAUCGAUCAGCAGAUUGAUCCUCAGACACCAAAAUGUGAGACAACACGUCCAGAAACUAAAACAACUGCUGAUCACUGUCCACCAAUCAGAGCUGAAGGAAAUUAAAGUUUCUGUACAGCAAUAAAAAAAAAACACACAGACUCACGUUGACUUUGGUUUCUCUACAAAAGAAAAGAAAAAAAAGAAUAUUGCACAAAAAGAAACAAGCUUCUGAUUUUACAGCACUGAUGUUUAACUGAUGUUUAACUGAUGUUUAACUGAUGUUUAACGCCUCACUAAGCACAAUGAAACUAAUCAAUGUUUACAAAUGAAGAAAAUAACCGUCCAGAGCUUUGAUCCUGAUUACAGCGCAGAGAAGAGUAGUUAAUGUGUUAGCAGACACACACACACACACACACACACACACACACACACACACACACACACACACACACACACACACACACACACACCGAAGUUUAACCGUGGAUCCAGAGAGGAAAACGAGGAUCAUGAAUGAUUGUCGAAGGCACUGACGAGAUAAAAAAUGGAAAAUUAAUCAUAGAAAAUCAUAUUUGGAGACAUUUUAGUAUUUUACAGUCGAAUGCUUGUUUUCUUUUAUACAGAUGCAGUUAAACAGGAAGUGAUGUCACAGGCGCCGGUCAGAAAUCAUCCAUGUGAUUGGACGACGACAGGAAGGACAGAAGGGGCAGCAGGGGCCAGUAGGGGGCAGCACCGGACAGUAGGUGACAGCAGGGGGCAGUAAGGGGCAGUAGGUGACAGUAGGGGCAGUAGGUGACAGUAGGGGACAGUAGGUGACAGUAGGGGCCAGUAGGUGACAGUAAGGUGCAGUAGGUGACAGUAAGGGGCAGUAGGUGACAGUAGGUGACAGUAGGAGGCAGUAGGUGACAGCAGGGGCCAGUAGGUGACAGUAGGGGGCAGUAGGUGACAGCAGGGGCCAGUAAGGUGACAGUAGGGGCAGUAGGGGCAGUAGGGGCCAGUAGGUGACAGUAGGGGGCAGUAGGUGACAGCAGGGGCCAGUAAGGUGACAGUAGGUGACAGUAGGGGCAGUAGGGGCAGUAGGGGGCAGUAGGUGACAGUAGGGGCAGUAGGGGCCAGUAGGUGACAGUAGGGGGCAGUAGGGGCAGUAGGUGACAGUAAGGUGCAGUGGCGCACCACAGACAGUAAAGUGAUGUCUGAAUGAAGCUUCAACAGAAAACUCAACAUUUGAACAUUAAAUAUUCAGAUAAACGACGGCGCCUCCUGCU